rnacentral:rRNA from 1 species
UACGUAGGGCGCAAGCGUUAUCCGGAAUUAUUGGGCGUAAAGAGCUCGUAGGUGGUUUGUUACGUCUGCUGUGAAAUCCUAGGGCUUAACCCUGGGCUUGCAGUGGAUACGGGCAGACUAGAGGUAGGUAGGGGAGAAUGGAAUUCCUGGUGUAGCGGUGAAAUGCGCAGAUAUCAGGAGGAACACCGGUGGCGAAGGCGGUUCUCUGGGCCUUACCUGACACUGAGGAGCGAAAGCGUGGGGAGCGAACAGG